rnacentral:lncRNA from 1 species
GUUGGUACAUCUGCAUGAGUGAUUCCAUUCAGGAAUUCAUUUCUCUAGGAAAUCUUCAAGAGGAAGUCAUUGAACUGCCUCAUCAAUAUUUAAUCAGCUAGAGGAUGGGAAUAAGAAGGACCUGUCAUUUGGUCCUACUAGAGAAGCUGGAAGAAAGAAAAAAAGUAGAAAAGAAGGGCUUGUCCUGAUAUAUCUCUAUACUCAUUCCCCAGUAGAAGGAAUCUGAGACGAGCUGGACUCAAUUCUUUGUCUAAAGAAGAGGUCUGCUUGGAAUACUUUGAACAGGCUAAAUAAAAUUUGCAGAAUAUGGCAUGUUCUGGCUUUGUAAAAUCCCCAACGGUGAGAAUACCAUAUUGCAAAGCGUAACAGAUCGAUCAAGCACCCAGCACGAGGACCGCUCCAUGAGUUUACGGCCCUAAUGGCUGCCUCACAACAAAAUACACAUUUAAACAGAGCACAUGAGUCAUAGCCGACUAACAAAAGAACCACCCAUCUGUGCACAUUCAGGAGAAAGAAGCUCGCUGGAGAGCGCUGAUGUGGACUGAAGCCUUGUCAUGGGGCUUUCACUGCAAGUGGAGCUGAAGCCCAGUGUCAUCAACUCUAACUCAAAUUUCCAGAGCUGAGAUUAUUCCACAAUGUUCUAAAGCCAGGCAGAGGAAGUGGUGGUGCCAAGCUUUAAAUUCAGUCUAAAGGCCGUCCAGCCAGGGCUUGCGUGCCAAUGGCACCACACUGAAUGAUAAUCCUGUUGGCCAGGACUCUCAACCUACUUCCAAAUCAUGUAUUAAAACAUUCUGAUGACUACCACAUAAUUCAUCUAGAUUCAUUACAAGAAUUAUAACAAUGUCUGUUACUCAUGUAUAAAAUGUUGUGAUGCUAACUCAGCAAUAAUAAUAUCCAACAUUUAUUAAACACUUGCUUUAGACCAGAAGUUGAGCUAAGUGCUUUUACAUGUUUGACCUCUAUUAAUUCUCAGAACAACACUAGGAAGUGGUUUCUAUUUUAUUAUUAUCCCCACUUUACAGAAUGAAAAACUAAGGGUUGAGAGGCCCACUCAUCAUCUCUUAUUCAAGUUCAUCACUCUUACCCAAGGUCACAUAGUCAGUGAAGAAGAAGGGAUUUGAACUUCAGAGAUCACACACACAUAACCUCCAUAGCAUUGGUUAAAGGAGAUGGAACCUGGGCUUUGAGUAUCCUAGAAUUUUAUUCCCCAACCAAUGUGGUGAGUUCUUAUAUACACAGGGUAAGGUCAACAGUACACAGCUCCUGCCUACAGGAAUCUUGCAUUCUGGGUUCACUCUGGUACUCCAUUCUAGAAAGCAAAGGGGCAGUAAGAAGUUGAGCCUGAAGUUCAGCAAUGGAGCCAUGUGAGCUUAAACAAAAUGAAAUGGUCUCUGGCUUACUACAUUCUGGUCCCACAUUAAAAGCACUGUUGCUCACUGAAGGAAACAUUAUC